UGGAUUUCCUCUCACCUCAGCACCCCUCAGACUUGGGCACUACACAGCACAAACAGCCAACACUCACCUUCAAUACCUUACUUCUGUAUUUCAAUACACAAACCUUAUUUAAGGUAGAACUAGUGUUCAACAGAUGGCAGUCACUUCUGCAGGAAGGAAGUAAAUCAAGAAAGAUGGUAGAAGUUACUACUUCUGCAGUUGUUUAUAACCUGAACAAAUGGAAGACCUAAGAAUUUCACCAGAAACUUGGAUGUAUAAGCUUGACCAUAAAAACAUG
rnacentral:lncRNA from 1 species